UUUCUACUCCCUCCGUUCGGAAUUACUUGUCACAUAAAUGAAUGUAUCUACAACUAAAAUACAUCUAAAUACAUUCAUUUCUUGGACGAGUAAUUUCGAACAGAGGGAGUACUAG
rnacentral:pre_miRNA from 1 species